GAUGAAGAACGAAGUGAAAUGCGAUAAGUAAUGUGAAUUGCAGAAUUCAGUGAAUCAUCGAAUCUUUGAACGCACAUUGCGCCCGCUAGUAUUCUGGCGGGCAUGCCUGUUCGAGCGUCAUUUAAACCUUCAAGCUAAGCUUGGUGUUGGGUGACUGUCCGCUUCACGGCGGACUCGCCUCAAAAUUAUUGGCGGCCGGUACAUUGGCUUCGAGCGCAGCAGAAACGCGAACUCGGGCCCGUCGUAUUGGCUCCCAGAAGCUAUCUUCACAAUUUUGACCUCGGAUCAGGUAGGGAUACCCGCUGAACUUAAGCAUAUCAAUAAGCGGAGGA
rnacentral:misc_RNA from 1 species